CGACAUGUCUCUUUUUGCUAAUUUCUUGGUUAUUGUCAAAUUUACAAAUGUCUUCAUUACUGUUCUUCAUAAAACGUUUUAGCUUCCUUUGGAAUUGCUGAGUCAACCAGGAGAUAAUGGAGUACAUUUGCAGGAGCCCACGCUGUUUUAAUUAACUCCCCUUAAUGUCACCGAGGAGGGCGGGUAAGCAGGCCCUUUGCCAUGACCCUUCACUCUUGGAAAGUGAGCAUCUCCUCCGGAGAGCCGGCUUGGAGCAGUUCACUCUGGAAUGCCAUCAAGUCUCUUUUUUCACCUCUCCAAAAAGCAGAGCCUGUCUUGGAAUGUAGUAGAAACAACCCACCAGUGAAAAGUCCGAGCUGAAGAACUUGCUGCAAAUGUCCAAUGUUGACUUUUUGCCACAGCCUCCUGCAGGGAAGGAAGAAACUUUGUCUCUUUCCACCCCUCACUUCCUUUUUCCAGCCAGAGGUCACCUACCAAAUUUAGACAGGAAAGGGGCAGCUGACCAGAGAGCCAGGCCCUGUGCAGACUGGUAUGUGCCCAAACUGCAACAGGAGCAUAAUGCAAGCCACGUGUGUAAUUUUAAAUUUUCAAGUAGCCACAUUUAAAAAAGGAAGAAGAAAUUAAUUUAAAUAAUAUAUUGUAG
rnacentral:lncRNA from 1 species